GACAGAGGGUGCGAACGUUGCUCGGAAUCACUGGGCGUAAAGCGCGCGUAGGCGGACCGGAAAGUCGGUUGUGAAAUCCCUGGGCUCAACCCAGGAACUGCAUCCGAAACUCCCGGUCUCGAGUGACGGAGAGGAUAGUGGAAUUCCCGGUGUAGAGGUGAAAUUCGUAGAUAUCGGGAGGAACACCGGUGGCGAAAGCGACGUGCUGGACCCUUUCUGACGCUGAGGCGCGAAAGCCAGGGGAGCAAACGGG
rnacentral:rRNA from 1 species